AACGAACGCUGGCGGCAUGCCUAACACAUGCAAGUCGAACGAGACCUUCGGGUCUAGUGGCGCACGGGUGCGUAACGCGUGGGAGCCUGCCUUUAGGUUCGGAAUAACUCAGAGAAAUUUGAGCUAAUACCGGAUGAUGUCUUCGGACCAAAGAUUUAUCGCCUUUAGAUGGGCCCGCGUUGGAUUAGCUAGUUGGUGGGGUAAAGGCCUACCAAGGCGACGAUCCAUAGCUGGUCUGAGAGGAUGAUCAGCCACACUGGGACUGAGACACGGCCCAGACUCCUACGGGAGGCAGCAGUGGGGAAUAUUGGACAAUGGGCGAAAGCCUGAUCCAGCAAUGCCGCGUGAGUGAUGAAGGCCUUAGGGUUGUAAAGCUCUUUUACCCGAGAUGAUAAUGACAGUAUCGGGAGAAUAAGCGCUGGCUAACUCCGUG
rnacentral:rRNA from 1 species